rnacentral:lncRNA from 1 species
UUAACCCACUGAGCAAGGGCAGGGACCAAACCCGAAACCUCAUGGUUCCUAGUCGGAUUCGUUAACCACUGUACCACGACAGGAACUCCAGAGACCACUUUUUAAGUAGAACUAAAUUGGGAAUUUAAUCGAACCUCUGAGUCUCUUUCUCCAACUAACUCAGAUGGGUAGGUCUUCCUUGGGAGGGUCGUUUAUUUUUUCAGGCUGCAGAGUUAAGAAGAGGAGGGUUUCUCUUUAAUUUCUAAAGUCAAUUUCCAUUAAAAUCUUCAGUGUUCAAUGUCUAGCUUAAUGUCUUUUGAAACGAUUGCUGUUUUUGAACCAGUGUUGGCGUCACUACAUUCUGAGUGUAGAAUAAUUAUCUGACAAAUCCUCCACCUGUAGGACUUUUACAGAAGACCGAGCAGCCCCUUAGAAUUUAUUGCUUUUGGCUGGAGAAUAUGGGCUCAUUCGUUCAGGCUCCGAUACUUAGAAAGGCCAAAGAGUAGAGGUUUAAUUCCCAGAUAGGCCAGUUAGUUCCCAGGCUAGGGGUCGAAUCUGAGCUGCAGCCACCAGCCUACACCAGAGCCACAGCGAUGCCAGAUCCAAGCCGCGUCUGCGACCUACACCCUACAGCUCACGGCAACGCUGGAUCCUUAACCCACUGAGCAAGGCCAGGGGUUGAACCCUCAACAUCAUGGUUCCUAGUCGGAUUUGUUAACUACUGAACCACGAUGGGAACUCCUCUCAGAUAUUUUAAUUCUGACCUUGUAUUUGUAAGUGAUUCCUUCGUAGAAGAUACAGGGAAAGUACCAGAAGGAAGAAGGAUGACUGUGUGGCAGUUUCCUGAUAGAUCUUAAGAGGAGGUACACAAAAGAUAAGAGGGCUGACAGUCGAGGGAGCCACAGUGAUGGUGGCUAAAGUCUACUCAAUGCCAGGCACUGUUCUAAGCACUCUUGUUUGACGAGAGCUUUCUGAGGGGGUGCCAUUGUUACUGCCUUUUUAUAGAUGAGCACGUUGAGGCUCUGAGCUUUCAGGUAUUGCGGUAGGUCACACCUUAGUUAAAUCCCUGGAGUAUGAAUCGAUGGGCAGUCUGAUUCUAAAGAGAUGUGAGACUUGCAGAAGGUGCUAUGGACAAUUAAAAGGUUGGUGAGGCGUUCCUGUGGUGGCUGAGUGUAAACAAACCCGACUAGUAUCCAGGAGGAUGCGGGUUUGAUCCUUGGCCCCGCUCGGUGGGUUGAGGAUCCCAAUGUUGCCAUGAGCUGUGGUGUAGGCUGGCAGCUGUAGCUCUGAUUUGAUCCCUAGCCUGGGAGGAACUUCCAUAUGCUGCAGGUGCAGCCUUAAAAAGCCAAAAAAAAAAAAAAAAAAGUGUUCAGAGCCAGAAGAUGGCAAGAGCUGCAUGUGAACAGAGCUGAUGCAGGGUGUGGGUACUAAGGGAGCAUAGUUCCUCAUCUCCAUCUCCUGCGUUCUGUUUUUUACGCACAUAUUUCAAAAGCCCAGAAUGUUAACUGUGCAUUGGGGAAGUAAUGAGACCUAGUUUUUCUAAAUGAAAAUUUAAGCCUCCUAGCCUAGCAGAAGUCUUGCCCAGAGUCCUGAGGCCAUUUGGAUGGAGAUUAUUCAUCCAUGCCUGCGAUCUCUGAAGAAACGUGGAGAAUAGAAAUAGUGCUGGACAGGUGUGGGGGGACAUGUGUGGAAAAGGGCUUCAAAGGACGGGUAUCUUUCAAUAUUUAGCGCUUGCAGAGUUUCCAGACUUGUUCUGAGGGCGCCCGCAGUAUAAAACUAGAGUCAGAGAAAGGACAUUAAAUGGGACCAGAUUUAAGUGUCUGGAGUUAAAGUGGGUUUCUUCCCCAGCUGCAGAGUAACCUGCACUUGGAAGGAUUCCAGUGUAAGAUGGAUGAGACCAUGGCCUGGAGAUGUCUCAGGCGGGAUGUUAACAUCAGGGGGCGAUAGGACCUUGAAGGGUUCCUCUGACCUGUUUCUAAAAGGGUGACUUUGCAUGUGUAAGACUAGGCCAGAGAAGUACUUGGAUCUUCGGCUUUCCUCAUUUCCGGGUUGGGAUACUCGGAUUCAGAGAGGCUAAGAGAGCUCUUGGUGACAGGCAGGCUAGGUGGCCCUCUGGGCUCUUCCCUGACGGCAGCUGUCAUGUAUACCAGGCUAUCCAGGGAGCCUCUAGGAGCAGGACAGGUUUGGGGCUGGGCUCACUGGGGUUCAAAUCCCAGCUCUGGCCUUUCAGUCAUCCUUCAGUAUCUGUGGGGGAUUAGUUCCUGGACCCCUUGCAGAUACUGACAUCCUUCCAUGAAUGGCAUAAUAUUCACGUAUAACUUAUGCGCAUCCUCACGGAUUCUUUAAAUCCUCUCUAAAGGAUUUUUUUUUUGGUAAACUUAGAAAACCUCAUACAAUGUAAAUGCUGUGUACCUAGUUGCUAGAAUGCUGGAACUUCAAGGUUUGCUCCUUAGAACUUUCUGGAAAAUUUUUUGCUCUUUCUGUUUUGGCUCCCCACAGCCUAUGGAGUUCCCGGGCCAGGGAUCAGAUCCCAGCCACACAGUUGUGACCUGUGCUGCAGCUGCGGCGAUGCUUGCUGGAUCCUUAACUCACUGCACAGAACCCAUAUUCCUGUGCUUCAGAGACGUCGUCAAUCCCAUUGUGCCACAGCGGGAACUCCUGGGAAAAUUAUUUUUCCUCCCAAAUAUUUUUCAUCUGCGGUUGGUUGAAUCUACAGACGCGGAGCCCUCAGAGCCAGAGGGUCAGGUGUACUCUGUAACCUUCAUUCCUUUUUCCUCAAUUGAAGUAGUGGGAUUGUUGUGAGGAUUAGGCGAAAAGAAAGCACUUGACCUCUAAGAGGUACUGAGGAUCCAUUCUCUCUUCUUCAUGGUUAGGCUUGACAUCUUUAUGUUAUUAUUACUGAGAAGUUUUCCAAAGUCCUUCAACUCAUGCCUAAGAGGUUUCAUUUUUGCCUUGUUUUUCUCUUUGGAUGAUGUGAAAUUUUAAAAGGGCAUUAUUUAGAGUUUCUCUAUAUGUAAAAUCUUUACAUCUUCUAGGGCAUUUUGGAUGAAAGAUCCAACUACAGGGCUUUGAGCAAUUCUUACCCACUCUGAAAUUAUAUGAUUGAUUCCUUUUGAGAACGAUGCCUUCUAACUUUCCUCCUCCUCCAGUGAUGCCCAUGGCUCAUUGGUUACCAUGGUAACCACACUCUAAUAAUCUUGUCAGGAAAUACGACAUAACUAUCUAUCUAAUCUUAUUUUCCAGACCUAAAACAAGCACCCAGCUUCCUUCUAGAGGGUUCAGGGCCCAAGUGUUGCUCCUCCUUGUUCUGAUGUUUUAUAAAACUGUACGUACUUGCAGAAGAAUGUACAUCAUUGGGUGUUUCCUCAACUUAGAAUGUUUAUGGCCCUCAGCGGCCAGUAGGUCGCUGUGAAGGCUUAUGUGAUCUCAUGCUCAUUCUCCUAUUGUUGAGGAAAUUUGGGGGUAGUUUAAAAAAUGCAGAAUUGUGGUUUCUAGAGGAUUUACAUUUAUUUCUGGACAUAAAAGAGUCUAAGGUAAUUGCUAGGAUACAUAGAUCAAGUCAGUAUUUUCACGUUUUUCAGGAGAGACUAACUUGUACAAAACACGUCUCUCCUGGCUCAUGAGCCAGAGCAAGUCCGUACCUUCUCAGCAGCCUCCUACCCCUUCCUCAGCAUCCCCUAAUACCCCCAGGUCCCUGCUCCUGGCAAGACCCCUCCAUACUGCCAGCCUCUUCAUCACUUUCUGCCUUGACCAUCAGGACUAGGCUCACCACACCUCUUUAUCCUGUUUGUGUCAGUCACCAUAGCAAGCCUGGGCUCCCAAGGCAUCCCACAUCUCUCCUCCCUGUGUCCUGUCCUUAUUUGACUCUUUCUUUUUUAAUUUAAAUUUAAAUCUAGGAGUUCCUGUCGGUAAUGAAUCCGACUAGGAACCAUGAGGUUGCAGGUUUGAUCCCUGGCCUUGCUCAGUGGGUUAAAGAUCCAGUGUUGCCAUGAGCUGUUGUGUAGGUGG